GAUCAAUAUAUAAUUGCAAAUUUAUAAUUUAAUAUUGCUAGUCAAAUACCUAAUGUCAUAAUGUCUAAGAUGUAUAUUAUAUAUAUUGAUGUAUAUAAUAAUGCCAAAAAUUAAAAAUUGCCAUCAGUAUUAAAUAAUUAAAUAAAAAUGGAGGAGAGAGCAAUGCUAUGGAUGCUUUCUCUUGUUAUGUUUGUUGGAUCUUGUCUUGGAGCUGGAUCACUGCCAUUAAGUUAAAUAAAUUUAUCAGAAGAAGACAAGUUACAAUUAGUUUCAAUAUUAGGAGCAGGACUCCUUGUUGGUACUGCGCUAGCGAUUAUACCUGACUAUACCUGAGGGUGUAAGAGCAUUAUUUACUGUGGAUGGUAUUACUAAUGAAAAAGGUUUAUAUAGCAAUUUACAUUCUUUAAUUGGAAUUCAGUUUAGUACUUGGUUUAUGCCUUUAAUUGAUCAAUGUUCAGCCAGAAAAAGUGGAGGAAGACAAGAAAAGUAUUACAGCAACUUUAGGUCUUAUAGUAGAUGCUGCUAGUUGAUUGGCGGAGUUGCAUUGGGAGCUGCUGCUACUACAUCUCAAGCUGAUGUCGAAGUGUCUUAGUUUUUUUCGCAAUAAUGUUAAACAAAGCGCCAGCUGCAUUUGGACUUGUGUCAUUACUAUGUAUCAGUACCAUGAACUGACCCACAUACGCUACAGCUUGCUUCUUCGCAGGCAAACCCUCAAUUUACGCGCAUACGUAGACGUAUGCGUAUACCCGGUCAUAAAUACCCGCAACCUCGCGCGCAUUCAUAGACAUGCGCAGACCUCGUUGUCGCGCAUUAGCUAUCAUUUGCGCAUACUUAUGCGUGUGCACAUUUGCUUUCGUACGCGCUCGCGCAGACACACGUCUUGUUCAGUUCGCACGUUUACAAUUAUUCGCACAUGCGUAAAAGUUUGUACAUGCGCAGUCUUUCUCGCAUGCGCAACGUACGCUCUCGCGUACUCGCAUACAUUUUUUAUUAAUAACAUUAAGAAUAUUCUUUUGUCUUAUCUGUUUAUAUUUUAUUUUAUUCCC